AGUGAACGCUGGCGGUAGGCCUAACACAUGCAAGUCGAACGGCAGCACAGUAAGAGCUUGCUCUUACGGGUGGCGAGUGGCGGACGGGUGAGGAAUACAUCGGAAUCUACUUUUUCGUGGGGGAUAACGUAGGGAAACUUACGCUAAUACCGCAUACGACCUACGGGUGAAAGCAGGGGAGCUUCGGACCUUGCGCGAUUGAAUGAGCCGAUGUCGGAUUAGCUAGUUGGCGGGGUAAAGGCCCACCAAGGCGACGAUCCGUAGCUGGUCUGAGAGGAUGAUCAGCCACACUGGAACUGAGACACGGUCCAGACUCCUACGGGAGGCAGCAGUGGGGAAUAUUGGACAAUGGGCGCAAGCCUGAUCCAGCCAUACCGCGUGGGUGAAGGAGGCCUUCGGGUUGUAAAGCCCUUUUGUUGGGAAAGAAAAGCAGCAGGUUAAUACCCCGCUGUUCUGACGGUACCCAAAGAAUAAGCACCGGCUAACUUCGUG
rnacentral:rRNA from 1 species